UACGUAGGGUGCAAGCGUUGUCCGGAAUUAUUGGGCGUAAAGAGCGUGUAGGCGGCCAGGUAGGUCAGCUGUGAAAACUCGAGGCUCAACCUCGAGACGCCGGUUGAAACCAUCUGGCUAGAGUCCGGAAGAGGAGAGUGGAAUUCCUGGUGUAGCGGUGAAAUGCGCAGAUAUCAGGAAGAACACCCGUGGCUAAGGCGGCUCUCUAGUACGGUACUGACGCUGAGACGCGAAAGCGUGGGGAGCGAACAGG
rnacentral:rRNA from 1 species